UACGAAGGGGGCUAGCGUUGCUCGGAAUCACUGGGCGUAAAGCGCACGUAGGCGGACUCUUAAGUCGGUGGUGAAAUCCUGGAGCUCAACUCCAGAACUGCCUUCGAUACUGGGAGUCUCGAGUCCGAGAGAGGUGAGUGGAACUCCUAGUGUAGAGGUGGAAUUCGUAGAUAUUAGGAAGAACACCAGUGGCGAAGGCGGCUCACUGGUCCGGUACUGA
rnacentral:rRNA from 1 species